CGAGUCGGCCGGGUGAUCGCUGCGCGAGCAGAGGAAAGUCCGGACUCCACAGAGCAGGGUGGUGGGUAACGCCCACCCGGGGUGACCCGCGGGAAAGUGCCACAGAGAACAGACCGCCCCUCCGCAGGGAGGAGCAAGGGUGAAACGGUGGUGCAAGAGACCACCAGCACCCCAGGUGACUGGGGUGGCUCGGUAAACCCCACCCGGAGCAAGACCGAGAAGGGUCCGAGUCUUCGGACGCGGACCCGCGGACGCCGUUUGAGCGCUGCUCGCGCGAGGCGCCCGGGUUGGUCGCACGCCGGCAACGGCGAAGGCGGUUGGCAACAGCCGUCGCAGAUGGAUGAUCACCGCCCGUGAGGGCACAGAAUCCGGCUUACAGGCCGGCUCGUCCC
rnacentral:RNase_P_RNA from 1 species